rnacentral:rRNA from 1 species
CAAAUUUGAAAUCUGGCGCCUUCGGUGUCCGAGUUGUAAUUUGAAGAUUGUAACCUUGGGGUUGGCUCUUGUCUAUGUUUCUUGGAACAGGACGUCACAGAGGGUGAGAAUCCCGUGCGAUGAGAUGCCCAAUUCUAUGUAAGGUGCUUUCGAAGAGUCGAGUUGUUUGGGAAUGCAGCUCUAAGUGGGUGGUAAAUUCCAUCUAAAGCUAAAUAUUGGCGAGAGACCGAUAGCGAACAAGUACAGUGAUGGAAAGAUGAAAAGAACUUUGAAAAGAGAGUGAAAAAGUACGUGAAAUUGUUGAAAGGGAAGGGUUUGAGAUCAGACUCGAUAUUUUGUGAGCCUUGCCUUCGUGGCGGGGUGACCCGCAGCUUAUCGGGCCAGCAUCGGUUUGGGCGGUAGGAUAAUGGCGUAGGAAUGUGACUUUACUUCGGUGAAGUGUUAUAGCCUGCGUUGAUGCUGCCUGCCUAGACCGAGGACUGCGAUUUUAUCAAGGAUGCUGGCAUAAUGAUCCCAAACCGCCCGUCUUGAA